rnacentral:rRNA from 1 species
UCGGUUUAAUCAUAUGUUUUUAGCCACGUAUGCGGUGUUUAAGCUUGAGUGUUUGAAAAUCAAAACCAAGUUAAAUCAUUUCGCUUUGCGUACAAAGUUACUAAUUUCUGCUAAUCAGUCGGCUUUUGCCCAGCUUAAGGCUAUUAGCGGUGCGUAACUUCAGUCUCUAGCUUGCUAGAGAUGAUUAGUGGCGGACGGGUGAGUAACAUUUAGGAAUCUACCUAGUAGUGGGGGAUAGCUCGGGGAAACUCGAAUUAAUACCGCAUACGACCUACGGGUGAAAGGGGGCGCAAGCUCUUGCUAUUAGAUGAGCCUAAAUCAGAUUAGCUAGUUGGUGGGGUAAAGGCCCACCAAGGCGACGAUCUGUAACUGGUCUGAGAGGAUGAUCAGUCACACCGGAACUGAGACACGGUCCGGACUCCUACGGGAGGCAGCAGUGGGGAAUAUUGGACAAUGGGGGCAACCCUGAUCCAGCCAUGCCGCGUGUGUGAAGAAGGCCUUUUGGUUGUAAAGCACUUUAAGCAGGGAGGAGAGGCUAAUGGUUAAUACCCAUUAGAUUAGACGUUACCUGCAGAAUAAGCACCGGCUAACUCUGUGCCAGCAGCCGCGGUAAUACAGAGGGUGCGAGCGUUAAUCGGAAUUACUGGGCGUAAAGCGAGUGUAGGUGGCUCAUUAAGUCACAUGUGAAAUCCCCGGGCUUAACCUGGGAACUGCAUGUGAUACUGGUGGUGCUAGAAUAUGUGAGAGGGAAGUAGAAUUCCAGGUGUAGCGGUGAAAUGCGUAGAGAUCUGGAGGAAUACCGAUGGCGAAGGCAGCUUCCUGGCAUAAUAUUGACACUGAGAUUCGAAAGCGUGGGUAGCAAACAGGAUUAGAUACCCUGGUAGUCCACGCCGUAAACGAUGUCUACUAGCCGUUGGGGUCCUUGAGACUUUAGUGGCGCAGUUAACGCGAUAAGUAGACCGCCUGGGGAGUACGGCCGCAAGGUUAAAACUCAAAUGAAUUGACGGGGGCCCGCACAAGCGGUGGAGCAUGUGGUUUAAUUCGAUGCAACGCGAAGAACCUUACCUGGUCUUGACAUAGUGAGAAUCCUGCAGAGAUGCGGGAGUGCCUUCGGGAACUCACAUACAGGUGCUGCAUGGCUGUCGUCAGCUCGUGUCGUGAGAUGUUGGGUUAAGUCCCGCAACGAGCGCAACCCUUUUCCUUAUUUGCCAGCGGGUUAAGCCGGGAACUUUAAGGAUACUGCCAGUGACAAACUGGAGGAAGGCGGGGACGACGUCAAGUCAUCAUGGCCCUUACGACCAGGGCUACACACGUGCUACAAUGGUAGGUACAGAGGGUUGCUACACAGCGAUGUGAUGCUAAUCUCAAAAAGCCUAUCGUAGUCCGGAUUGGAGUCUGCAACUCGACUCCAUGAAGUCGGAAUCGCUAGUAAUCGCAGAUCAGAAUGCUGCGGUGAAUACGUUCCCGGGCCUUGUACACACCGCCCGUCACACCAUGGGAGUCUAUUGCACCAGAAGUAGGUAGCCUAACGCAAGAGGGCGCUUACCACGGUGUGGUCGAUGACUGGGGUGAAGUCGUAACAAGGUAGCCGUAGGGGAACCUGCGGCUGGAUCACCU